UACAUGGGGUGCAAACGUUGCUCGGAAUUACUGGGCGUAAAGCGCACGUAGGCGGCUUUGUAAGUUAGAGGUGAAAGCCCGGGGCUCAACUCCGGAAUUGCCUUUAAGACUGCAUCGCUCGAAUUGUGGAGAGGUAAGUGGAAUUCCGAGUGUAGAGGUGAAAUUCGUAGAUAUUCGGAAGAACACCAGUGGCGAAGGCGACUUACUGGACACAUAUUGACGCUGAGGUGCGAAAGCGUGGGGAGCAAACAGG
rnacentral:rRNA from 1 species